rnacentral:misc_RNA from 1 species
AGGAUUGUAGUGUAAAGCCCGCAGCCCCGCAGGGGCGAGGACUUGAAACGGAAAGCCUGACGGCGC